UGCGUAGGUGGCAGAACAAGUCUGGAGUAAAAGGUAUGGGCUCAACCCGUACUGGCUCUGGAAACUGUUCAGCUAGAGAACAGAAGGGGACGGCGGAACUCCAUGUGUAGCGGUAAAAUGCGUAGAUAUAUGGAAGAACACCGGUGGCGAAGGCGGCCGUCUGGUCUGUUGCUGACACUGAAGCACGAAAGCGUGGGGAGCAAAUA
rnacentral:rRNA from 1 species